GAGUAAACAACAUAUUUUGGUGCGAAAUGCCGUUGAAAAUUUCUGUUUUGAAGUGUUGUAGCAGGUAAAUAAGGCGGUUCCCUUUUCCUCUUUUGGUUCAGCAUUGCACGAUAGUAAUGCAUAAGCCGCUACAGCCAACUUAAAUCCCAUUUUGACAAAGUUUCUGGCCACAUAGUAAAAAAAAUGGAUUGAAGAGGAUACCAAGAAGAUCAUGAUGGGUAAGUCGUUCUACCCCUUCCGGCUACCGAUGGAAUAGGAGCGAAACUAACGUUGGACGAAAACGAUGAUGGCGCUACCUCCAGCUAGUCCGGGUAGUUUGUCUUAUUGUUAAAACAAAUGGCCCGGGUUCCACAGCCCUUGGGCAGACGGCGGUUAAUAUGGUUGGUUUUGGAAGAGUUAUGUGCCACAAGUACAGCAAUAUGGCACCGAUACUAUGAGCUCCCAUCAGUCGAUCAAUCCGCGUCCGAUCAGUCGGACCAGACGAUAUAAUUACCAGCGUUUCCAACCAGCAGCUUCACCCUGCUAUUCAUGGGCAUAAACAUGUUCUCGGGUAAACCCAGGUGAACAUUCUGAGGACUUUUUGGUUCAAUCGAUGGUUCAAGAUCCGGAUUCUACCGGAAAAUAUGGUGACCAAGUCAGUGUCAGAUUAACCAGCAGGGCAAACCGUUCUAUGCGCUUAAUGGCAACCGCUUUUGCACAAAUCAUUUGAACAAAAUGGAAAUGAGUGCUGUUUGCCUGAAACUAUUCUGAUAACGGCACCAAUAGUGUCUGAAAUUUUUGAACCAGCUUAUUGGUCUUUAUUGCAAACCACUGGAUUAAAGCAAUGGGAAAUUGAAUGUUCCGGAAGUACAGCUGUCGUUGUUGAAAGCUACUAAAAUAUUAUGAAACCAGAACUAAUUGAGUAAGCAUCAAUUAAUAAUCUAAAUGAUCACUUUAAAUAAGAUUCGAUAAUGAUUGUUUUGUUUUUUUUAGUUCUUUUCGAAGGGUUCAUCAAGAAAACCUUGUUGCGACGACAAUUUAACACCCCAUGUUAUUUGAUUCAAUAUAAAACUGCUGGACUGAUUAUGGUACUGUCUGGUGUGCUUUUUUGGAAGGAUGAUGACUUUGUCCAGACAAAUCUUUUUUGAAGGAAUAUUCACUGACCUAAGAAUCAGGUAAGAAUUGAAAAUCCAGAGCAUCAUUAACAAUUCUGGUCUGAUGAGCAUUGCGAGAGAGAUGUUUGUUGGUAAUUAACUUAACAUUCGUGAAUUAGUUUAGUGGUUGAAGUGAUUGAUCGGACUAGGCAAAUGUAUAGAAGCCUUUGCAGUGCUCAAUUUUAUCAAAACACAAAAUUAGUCAGAAGAUACGCUAAAAAUCAAUUGACAAAGCACUAUGAAAGUUUAAAAAAGCUUGCUUCGUUAGGAGAAGGAAAAAACACCAGAAAGUUUAAGCUUUUUGUAUUUCUUUCUACCUAAUAAGAGAAAAUAAGAAUAGAAUACGAUAUCUUCUGGAGUUUGUUUCCUUCUAAUCAUACAUUAACGAUGGUUUUAAAAUUUUAAUGGUUGGUUGGAUCAAUACUUCCUCAUCUCAUCUUUUAUAACUAUAUCCCGAGAACAGAUUUUGUUAUUUCAUAUGAGCACAAUUUUUAAUCGCCUUUGAGUAGACAAUUGCUGCUUUACUAUUCGACUAUUUCGUCGCUUACUGGUAAUGUUAGCGGCUCUACAUAAACGUAUGUAUGUAAAUACAUCUUUGAGAAAAACAAAUGUGUUAAAUUUUCCAAAGUACAAAUAUAAAGGUUUCACUGGGCAGCUGUAUAAUCGAUCUGUUUUUUUUUUCUAAAUUAAGUUUACUUAAUUCAAGUCAAUGUGAUUAUAAAAAUAAUACAAACUAGCAUAUUUGCAUAUUUGAUCCCAAUCAUAUUUUUCUAAACAGCUUCUGUAUUCGAACACACCAUUCGGUCCCAACAGUGUUUGACUAGCGAGUGACUACUGUAAUGAUAUAGGAAGUUUGAAAAAUCUACGCUAUAAUGUAUUAAUAA